GCCCUGCUUAACUGACAGAGCUGAACAGGGAAGAUUUGCGCCUACUAGGCUCUAGUCGGGACCCAUUUGAUUCGGGGAAACCUACAUGAACUGACUUCUCGGAAUCUUGCACAGAGUCUGUGAUCUAACCCGACACUGAGCCACCAUGGCGUAGCGGGCCUGGCAAGUCCGGAGGCAGAAGGGAUUCUGCACGACCUGGUUGAGAAGGUGGUUCCUGCAGAUGGAUCCACGUAGGAGUUCGAGGAAUCCGGCUGCCCGCAGCACAUCGUCGUGGCUCAAGUCUUAGGCACUUUAGCCGCGGCCUAAGGGACCAGUUCUUUUCCCACUUUGUUGGUUGUUUGGCGCGGAGGGUGU